rnacentral:rRNA from 1 species
GAUGAACGCUGGCGGCGUGCCUAAUACAUGCAAGUCGAGCGAACAGACGAGGAGCUUGCUCCUCUGACGUUAGCGGCGGACGGGUGAGUAACACGUGGAUAACCUACCUAUAAGACUGGGAUAACUUCGGGAAACCGGAGCUCAUACCGGAUAAUAUAGUGAACCGCAUGGUUCAAUAGUGAAAGACGGUUUUGCUGUCACUUAUAGAUGGAUCCGCGCCGCAUUAGCUAGUUGGUAAGGUAACGGCUUACCAAGGCAACGAUGCGUAGCCGACCUGAGAGGGUGAUCGGCCACACUGGAACUGAGACACGGUCCAGACUCCUACGGGAGGCAGCAGUAGGGAAUCUUCCGCAAUGGGCGAAAGCCUGACGGAGCAACGCCGCGUGAGUGAUGAAGGUCUUCGGAUCGUAAAACUCUGUUAUUAGGGAAGAACAAAUGUGUAAGUAACUAUGCACGUCUUGACGGUACCUAAUCAGAAAGCCACGGCUAACUACGUG